AGAGUUUGAUCAUGGCUCAGAUUGAACGCUGGCGGCAUGCCUUACACAUGCAAGUCGAACGGUAACGCGGGGCAACCUGGCGACGAGUGGCGAACGGGUGAGUAAUGCAUCGGAACGUGCCCAGUAGUGGGGGAUAGCCCGGCGAAAGCCGGAUUAAUACCGCAUACGACCUACGGGUGAAAGGGGGGGAUCGCAAGACCUCUCGCUAUUGGAGCGGCCGAUGUCAGAUUAGGUAGUUGGUGGGGUAAAGGCCCACCAAGCCGACGAUCUGUAGCUGGUCUGAGAGGACGACCAGCCACACUGGGACUGAGACACGGCCCAGACUCCUACGGGAGGCAGCAGUGGGGAAUUUUGGACAAUGGGCGCAAGCCUGAUCCAGCCAUGCCGCGUGCGGGAAGAAGGCCUUCGGGUUGUAAACCGCUUUUGUCAGGGAAGAAAUCUUCUGGGCUAAUACCCCGGGAGGAUGACGGUACCUGAAGAAUAAGCACCGGCUAACUACGUGCCAGCAGCCGCGGUAAUACGUAGGGUGCGAGCGUUAAUCGGAAUUACUGGGCGUAAAGCGUGCGCAGGCGGUUUUGUAAGACAGAGGUGAAAUCCCCGGGCUCAACCUGGGAACUGCCUUUGUGACUGCAAGGCUUGAGUGCGGCAGAGGGGGAUGGAAUUCCGCGUAGCAGUGAAAUGCGUAGAUAUGCGGAGGAACACCGAUGGCGAAGGCAAUCCCUGGGCCUGCACUGACGCUCAUGCACGAAAGCGUGGGGAGCAAACAGGAUUAGAUACCCUAGUAGUCC
rnacentral:rRNA from 1 species